CAAUAGCGUAUAUUAAUGUUGUUGCAGUUAAAAAGCUCGUAGUUGGAUUUCUGGUGGGAGCGGUUGGUCUGCCCCGCGAGGGGUAGUUACUGAGCCGUAUCCGGCCCUUUUCGGGUUGACCGUGGCUGGCAUUAAUUUGUCGGUGCGGGAGGCCCGUCGUUUACUGUGAACAAAUUAGAGUGUUCAAAGCAGGGUGUUCUUGAAUACAUUAGCAUGGAAUAAUGAGAUAGGACUUUGGUGGUUCUCACUUUUUGUGGGAUAUUUUGUUGGUUUGCACGCCAAAGUAAUGAUUAAUAGGAGCAGUUGGGGGUAUUCGUAUUCAAUUGUCAGAGGUGAAAUUCUUGGAUUUCUAGAAGACGAACUACUGCGAAAGCAUUUACCAAGGAUGUUUUCAUUA
rnacentral:rRNA from 1 species